UAGGAGUUUGGUAUCCUCGGCGUCAGGAGUGAACGACGUGCGGCGUGCUUAACACAUAGCAAGUCGAACGGAAAGGACUCCUGCUUGUCAGGGGGUACUCGAGUGGCGAACGGGUGAGUAACACGUGGGUGAUCUGCCCUGCACUUCGGGAUAAGCCUGGGAAACUGGGUCUAAUACCGGAUAGGACGAUGGUUUGGAUGCCAUUGUGGAAAGUUUUCGGUGUGGGAUGAGCUCGCGGCCUAUCAGCUUGUUGGUGGGGUAAUGGCCUACCAAGGCGUCGACGGGUAGCCGGCCUGAGAGGGUGUACGGCCACAUUGGGACUGAGAUACGGCCCAGACUCCUACGGGAGGCAGCAGUGGGGAAUAUUGCACAAUGGGCGCAAGCCUGACGCAGCGACGCCGCGUGGGGGAUGACGGCCUUCGGGUUGUAAACUCCUUUCGUCAGGGACGAAGCGAAAGUGACGGUACCUGGAUAAGAAGCACCGGCUAACUACGUG
rnacentral:rRNA from 1 species